AUUGAACGCUGGCGGCAUGCUUUACACAUGCAAGUCGAAUGGUAACAGGCCGCAAGGUGCUGACGAGUGGCGAACGGGUGAGUAAUGCAUCGGAACGUGCCCAGUCGUGGGGGAUAACGCAGCGAAAGCUGCGCUAAUACCGCAUACGAUCUAUGGAUGAAAGCGGGGGACCGUAAGGCCUCGCGCGAUUGGAGCGGCCGAUGUCGGAUUAGGUAGUUGGUGGGGUAAAGGCUCACCAAGCCGACGAUCUGUAGCUGGUCUGAGAGGACGACCAGCCACACUGGGACUGAGACACGGCCCAGACUCCUACGGGAGGCAGCAGUGGGGAAUUUUGGACAAUGGGCGCAAGCCUGAUCCAGCAAUGCCGCGUGCAGGAAGAAGGCCUUCGGGUUGUAAACUGCUUUUGUACGGAACGAAACGGCUCUGGUUAAUACCUGGGGCUAAUGACGGUACCGUAAGAAUAAGCACCGGCUAACUACGUGCCAGCAGCCGCCGUAAGAC
rnacentral:rRNA from 1 species